rnacentral:tRNA from 1 species
AAUGUAGCUCAGUGGUAGAGCGCUUGUCUAGCAUGAACAAGGCUCUAGGUUCAAUCCCUAGUAUU